rnacentral:lncRNA from 1 species
GGGGGGAGGAGCAGGCAUGGCGGGCUGCAGGUCUGGAGCCCUGCCCCGCGGGAAGGCAGCCAAGGCCUGGUGAGAAAUCGAGCGCAGCACCGGUGGGCCGGCACUGCUGGGGGACCCAGCACACCCUCCGCAGCCGCUGGCCCAGGUGCUAAGCCCCUCAUUGCCCGGGGCCGGCAGGGCCGGCCAGCAGCUCCAAGUGUGGGGCUCCCCGAGCCCACACCCACCCGGAACUCGUGCUGGCCCGCAAGCACAGCGCACAGCCCCCGUUCCCGCCUGCGCCUCUCCCUCCACACUCCCCACAAGCUGAGGGAGCGGGCUCCAGCCUAGGCCAGCCCAGGAAGGGGAUCCCACAGUGUAGUGGCGAGCUGAAGGGCUCCUCAAGUGCCGCCAAAGUGGGAGCCCAGGCAGAGGAGGCACCAAGAGCGAGCAAGGGCUAUUAAAAAGAAAAACAUAAGGCUGGGAGCAGUGGCUCACACCUGUAAUCCAGGCAACUCGGGAGGCUGAGGCAGGUGGAUCACUUGAGGUCAGGAGUUCGAGACCAGCCUGGCCAACAUGGUGAGUCCCACAUCUCUACUAAAAAUACAAAAAUUAGCCAGG